rnacentral:rRNA from 1 species
UACGGGGGGGGCAAGCGUUGUUCGGAAUUACUGGGCGUAAAGGGCUCGUAGGCGGCCAACUAAGUCAGACGUGAAAUCCCUCGGCUUAACCGGGGAACUGCAUCUGAUACUGGAUGGCUUGAGUUCGGGAGAGGGAUGCGGAAUUCCAGGUGUAGCGGUGAAAUGCGUAGAUAUUUGGAGGAAUACCGGUGGCGAAGGCGGCCAUCUGGACCGGUCCUGACGCUGAGACGCGAAAGCGUGGGGAGCAAACAGG